UGGGGAAUAUUGGACAAUGGGGGCAACCCUGAUCCAGCCAUGCCGCGUGUGUGAAGAAGGCCUUUUGGUUGUAAAGCACUUUAAGCAGUGAAGAAGACCUAACGGUUAAUACCCGUUAGCGAUGACAUUAGCUGCAGAAUAAGCACCGGCUAACUCUGUGCCAGCAGCCGCGGUAAUACAGAGGGUGCAAGCGUUAAUCGGAAUUACUGGGCGUAAAGCGAGCGUAGGUGGCUUGAUAAGUCAGAUGUGAAAUCCCCGGGCUUAACCUGGGAACUGCAUCUGAUACUGUUGGGCUAGAGUAGGUGAGAGGGAGGUAGAAUUUCAGGUGUAGCGGUGAAAUGCGUAGAGAUCUGAAGGAAUACCGAUGGCGAAGGCAGCCUCCUGGCAUCAUACUGACACUGAGGUUCGAAAGCGUGGGUAGCAAACAGG
rnacentral:rRNA from 1 species